UGAUCCUUGGACGCCCACAGUACAUCACCUUCAUGAGCGCAUCAGUGAACACCAGUCUAAGGAAGACAUCUCUGAACGUAAUUUUGGAGAUUUUGAUGAGUUCCAUUGAAACAAGGAGGAAUGUGAUGUCCAGUAUCAGUUCUGCAGACCCAAGGACAAAGAAAAUUCUGUGAUAAACUCAUCCAGUGUGACUGUAAUGAUACAAGACACCGGACUUUCAAAUCAACAAUUGUUUCAAAAGACUCCUACUGGAUUCCUGCUAGUGAUGGGAGAAAAUUAUCAUUCUGUGAGUUGUCAAUAAAUGUUUAACCACAGUUCACCUUUUUUGGAUUUUAAGAUGUCUGCGCCACUAGGACGCUCAGAAAAAUUACCCUCCAAAUGCUACUUGGAGGAGGAUUCAGUACCACCCUGAGAAGGCAACCAGCUACAACCUUGGUUGUAGUUUCGGUUGCAGAAAGAGCGUGAAGUGUGCAACUCAUGUCUGUCUUCAUUUUAAUAGGCUAGUUAAUCUGUAGCCAGAGAUGAUUAAGGAGGUCAUUAAAGGAAAACAAGCUGCCCACCAUGCUGAUGCCUGGUUGUUCAGAUCGUUGAGGUGGUGUAGAGAUGACGCACACUGGCUCAGUUUACCCACAUUUGGAUCUACGGACCUGCAAG
rnacentral:lncRNA from 1 species